rnacentral:rRNA from 1 species
CGCGGUAGUUUAACCGUGCGAAGGUAGCGUAGUAAUUUGUCUUUUAAUUGAAGGCUUGAAUGAACGGUCGGAUGAGAUGUAAACUGUCUUUCUUGUAAUGAAAGAAUUUAACUUUUGAGUGAAAAGGCUCAGAUAUAAUAAAGGGACGAUAAGACCCUAUAAAGCUUUAUGUGGGCUGUGCUAUAGAGUGAAUUAAGGUUAAGUUUUUGAUGAUGUCCACAUUUCGUUGGGGAGACGGAGAUAUAAUAGGUAACUGUCUUGGAAAUUUUAUAGGUGUUUUUAGAGAGUGAUCCUUCUUUGGGGAUUUAUAGAAAAAGUUACUUUAGGGAUAACAGCGUGAUUUUUCUCUGAGAGUUCUUAUCGACGAGAGUAGUCGCGACCUCGAUGUUGAAUUAAAGUUUCAGUUGGGUGUAGUUGUUCAACUAGUG